CCCUAUAUAUAUUUAUUUCACAUUUGCUACAAAGCUACAUUUUAUAAAGAGUAAUUGGCUAAAAUGAGCUAUUUAUAUAGUGUGAUUUGCUCUUGGCCUACUUUACAUAGUUUUAGGUAAAUUGUCUCUUUUAUUAAUGAAACUUUGUUAUAAACAUUUUCCCCUUAAAAUAAAAUAAUACUAAAAUAAAACAAACACCAUAAAAUUGUCAUCUUUUUCUUCACUCCUCUCACCCACCCACCCACACCCAUCCACAACCACCCACCCCCAUUCCGCCGCCACCACCAUCUUGCCACUGGCGACCACUGCCCAUCACCGGCCACCACCCAUGUCUCUCUACAAAUAUGGUCACCACCCACAUUCUCAAAUAUUUAAAAGAUGUCAUAAAAAAAUAUUGUAAUAUUAUGUGAUGGAUUGUGGAAAAGAAAUGAAGACUCAUGAAAAUGGAUUUCAAAUGGCUCGCGAUCAAGAUCAAGUUUGGUACAAACUAACCUAACUUUUGAGAAGUUAGUUGAACAUAUAUAUGACAUUAUAGAUAUUGAUCGCAACCUCUUCGAUAUAGAAUUAACUUACAUGAUUUAUUUAUUUUGGACUUAAAUGAAUAUGUAAUAUUUUGAUAAUUUUGUGUAAUUUUAAAUUUCAUGCUUUAGAUAUGAUUUUAUGACGAUAAA